rnacentral:rRNA from 1 species
CACGUAGGGCGCAAGCGUUGUCCGGAAUUAUUGGGCGUAAAGAGCUCGUAGGCGGUCUGUUGCGUCCGCUGUGAAAACUCGGGGCUUAACCCCGAGCCUGCAGUGGAUACGGGCAGACUAGAGGUAGGUAGGGGAGAAUGGAAUUCCCGGUGUAGCGGUGAAAUGCGUAGAUAUCUGGAGGAACACCGGUGGCGAAGGCGACAUCCUGGACCGGUAUUGACGCUGAGGCGCGAAAGCCAGGGGAGCAAAGC